rnacentral:rRNA from 1 species
GAUUCUGGCUCAGGAUGAACGCUGGCGGCGUGCCUAAUACAUGCAAGUGAAACGGGUAUCUUCGGAUACCAGUCGCGGACGGGUGAGUAAUACAUAGGCAACCUGCCUUUAUGAGGGGGAUAACCGAGGGAAACUUUGGCUAAUACCGCAUGAAGACUCUAAGGCAUCUUAGAGGGAUAAAAGUUGGGAAACAACGCAUGAAGAUGGGCUUAUGGCGCAUUAGCUAGUUGGUGAGAUAGAAGCCCACCAAGGUAAUGAUGCGUAGCCGACCUGAGAGGGUGAACGGCCACAUUGGGACUGAGACACGGCCCAAACUCCUACGGGAGGCAGCAGUAGGGAAUUUUCGGCAAUGGGGGGAACCCUGACCGAGCAACGCCGCGUGAAGGAAGAAGGUUUUCGGAUUGUAAACUUCUGUUAUAAGGGAAGAACGGAUUGGAUAGGGAAUGAUCUGAUAGUGACGGUACCUUAUUAGAAAGCCACGGCUAACUACGUGCCAGCAGCCGC